GCAAACUUGGUCAUUUAGAGGAAGUAAAAGUCGUAACAAGGUUUCCGUAGGUGAACCUGCGGAAGGAUCAUUAUUGAGUUAGGGACCAUUUGGUCCCAAUCUCUCACCCAGUGUCUACUUUACUACGUUGCUUCGGCAGGCCCGUUGACUCUGGUCAACCGCUGGAGGGUCCUUGGACUCUUUGGCCUGUGCCCGUCGAUGGUCCCUAAUUAAAUUCUUGAUAAAAUGUGUCGUCUGAGUCUGAAACAAAAUUGAAUUAAAACUUUCAACAACGGAUCUCUUGGUUCUGGCAUCGAUGAAGAACGCAGC
rnacentral:misc_RNA from 1 species